rnacentral:tRNA from 2 species
GCGGAAGUGGCGGAACUGGCAGACGCGCACGUUUGAGGGGCGUGUGGAGCAUUCCAUACGGGUUCAAGUCCCGUCUUCCGCA